UUUCGCUGAUGCGGCGAGGUUCCAGCAAAGGGGACCUCCGCACCUCCGCCCGGGUCCGAUAAGAAGGAGCAGCUGAGAAGGAGCGGAGAGCUGAACGAAGACCCUUCCUCAACCAGGACAACCCAGGGGCAGCCUGGCGGCGCUGGACUCGGCCAGACGCGGUGAAGCUCAAGGAGAGCCCUUCUCCACCAGGUCUAGGACCCUUCUGCAGGCACCCUGGGCAGGAAGAAACCACAGAGCUAGAUGGGAGAGUACUAUCAAGUCAGGGCUGAGAGGCGGCAAGCUGGGGACCGACUUGAAGAAGCAACAGAGAUUCAAGUGGAAGCAGUGAGGAAGCCCAGAACAUCAACUCUUUAAUAUCAGGCCUGAGCCAAAAAGCAAGUGGGGUUACUUUUUACUAACAUUAAGUAGUUAGGAACAAACAAAACGAAGACUCUUGAACUUACUAGUUCUAGGUCCUCCGUGCUCCACCCUCUUUUCCGACCCCUCACUGCUACAGCAAGCUUUCCAGUAAAUGUUGGAAAAUCCCAACUCUCUUCCUCCAUGGGGGAUGUGGGGGUAUUAAAUCUGGAGAAAGGUCUGACACACCGGCUCCAGCCAACCGGGAGCCUGAUUUCCUUAGUAAGAUUAAGAUCUGGACCCAUGGAGUGGUCCAACCCAACCCCCAGCACUUGGCCCAGGGAUUUUCUGUCAAGACAAUUUCCCUCCCUGCAACUCCCUAGAGCAGGGCUUCUUCAAGUCUCUUCCCCAUUUGGCAACUUGUGCAAAGCUACCUGAAAUAGCAACAGUUUAAGUCUUAAUUAGUAAAGAACUCCAGCUACAUAGGUGGACUCAACCUAAGAAAGACACUCUGUGGGCCUUGUGGCUUAUUCAGGCCCUGGAAACACUCCAUCAUUCUUGGAUCGAGCAAUGAAUUCUGUCCUUCAAGGGAUAACUGAGGGAGGUAGACCAGCAUUCCCACCCCACCCCCAAUCCUAAAUAAGCAGCCUUCAUUCCAGCUUGAAAUAUAGCCAGCCAGUAGGGUCUAGAGCCAUGUCACAUAGCAUCCUGAGGAAGUGGGAAGCAGUGCAGAGUAAUUAUUAAGAGCAAGAGACUUGACUUAAAAUUCCAGCUCUGCCUUUGCUGGCUGUGUAGCCCUGGGCAUGUCACUCACCUCUUAAAAAGAGUAAUAUCAACUGGUUUGCAGAAGAGUCCACAGAUACGAAGAGUAAAUAGGUAAUGUCUGUAAAGUGUUCGGCACUGUGCCUGGCCCAUUUCAAGGGUUCACUACAGGAGAGUUAUAAUUAUUUUUACAACCUAGAAUGAGCAUGGGCUUUCAUAGCAAAUAGACUAGUUUUGAACCCUGGCUUGAUUGUUUACUGACCAGCCUGGGGCAAAUUACUAAACUUUUUUGAGCUUCAUAUUCUGUAGAUAUAAAACGUGGCUUAUAAAUUACAGGGAAAAAAAUUCUUCCUGCAUUCUGCAUUCCAGAUGUAUACUAAAACACUGCCAACACACCAGAAAAGGGGAUGAAGAGAAAAGUAUCCCAUGGCUUAGCUCAUCCAGAGGCUAAGGGAACAAUAAAGGAGGCAGCUAUGGGCCUGAAAGAAGAAAAGCAAGAGAUACCUGAUUACAUGGACAACAGCUCCCAGCCUCACCACAGACGUCUUCAUAGCCAGUGAAGCCCCCAGGCCUCCUUUUUCCCAUCAUAUCGCUUCUUUGCAAUAAAGCUCAAAUUCAA